UGUGAACUCGAAGAGUAGGGCGGGACACGUGGUAUCCUGUCUGAAUAUGGGGGGACCAUCCUCCAAGGCUAAAUACUCCUGACUGACCGAUAGUGAACCAGUACCGUGAGGGAAAGGCGAAAAGAACCCCGGCGAGGGGAGUGAAAAAGAACCUGAAACCGUGUACGUACAAGCAGUGGGAGCACCUUCGGGUGUGACUGCGUACCUUUUGUAUAAUGGGUCAGCGACUUAUAUUCUGUAGCAAGGUUAACCGUAUAGGGGAGCCGAAGGGAAACCGAGUCUUAACUGGGCGUUAAGUUGCAGGGUAUAGACCCGAAACCCGGUGAUCUAGCCAUGGGCAGGUUGAAGGUUGGGUAACACUAACUGGAGGACCGAACCGACUAAUGUUGAAAAAUUAGCGGAUGACUUGUGGCUGGGGGUGAAAGGCCAAUCAAACCGGGAGAUAGCUGGUUCUCCCCGAAAGCUAUUUAGGUAGCGCCUCGUGAACUCAUCUUCGGGGGUAGAGCACUGUUUCGGCUAGGGGGCCAUCCCGGCUUACCAACCCGAUGCAAACUACGAAUACCGAAGAAUGUUAUCACGGGAGACACACGGCGGGUGCUAACGUCCGUCGUGAAGAGGGAAACAACCCAGACCGCCAGCUAAGGUCCCAAAGUCAUGGUUAAGUGGGAAACGAUGUGGGAAGGCCCAGACAGCCAGGAUGUUGGCUUAGAAGCAGCCAUCAUUUAAAGAAAGCGUAAUAGCUCACUGGUCGAGUCGGCCUGCGCGGAAGAUGUAACGGGGCUAAACCAUGCACCGAAGCUGCGGCAGCGACACU
rnacentral:rRNA from 1 species